rnacentral:misc_RNA from 1 species
GAUGAAGAACGUAGCGAAAUGCGAUAAGUAAUGUGAAUUGCAGAAUCCAGUGAAUCAUCGAAUCUUUGAACGCACAUUGCGCCCGCCAGCAUUCUGGCGGGCAUGCCUGUUCGAGCGUCAUUUCAACCCUCGACCUCCCUUUGGGGAAGUCGGCGUUGGGGACCGGCAGCACACCGCCGGCCCUGAAAUGGAGUGGCGGCCCGUCCGCGGCGACCUCUGCGUAGUAAACCAACUCGCACCGGAACCCCGACGUGGCCACGCCGUAAAACACCCAACUUCUGAACGUUGACCUCGAAUCAGGUAGGACUACCCGCUGAACUUAAGCAUAUCAUUAAGCGGAGGA